rnacentral:rRNA from 1 species
GGGUCAGUAGGUUGGUCGUGCCACCGGUACGUACUGGUCUCACUGAUUCCUCCUUCCUGAAGAACCGUAAUGCCAUUAAUUUGGUGUUGCGGGGAAACAGGACUGUUACUUUGAAAAAAUUAGAGUGUUUAAAGCAAGCGAACGCUUGAAUACAUUAGCAUGGAAUAAUGAAAUAGGACGAUCGAUCCUAUUUUGUUGGUUCCUAGGAUUGACGUA